rnacentral:rRNA from 1 species
UACGGGGGGAGCAAGCGUUGUUCGGAUUUAUUGGGCGUAAAGCGCUCGCAGGUGGUUCGUCGCGUCGUGCGUGAAAGACCCCGGCUCAACUGGGGAGGGUCGUGCGAUACGGGCGAACUGGAGGCCAGUAGGGGGAUGCGGAAUUCCGGGUGUAGUGGUGGAAUGCGUAGAGAUCCGGAGGAACACCAGCGGCGAAGGCGGCAUCCUGGACUGGUCCUGACACUCAUGAGCGAAAGCGUGGGGAGCGAUCCGG